rnacentral:pre_miRNA from 1 species
AAUAAGCGCAGCCAUGAGUUUCUGCGCCCAAUUUUGAUUGUCCGUCUUAUUUGAAAUUUUUUUAUAAUUAGCAUUUUUAUUGUUAUGAGAUGAUAAAACAUAAAUAGUACUUUACUCGUGACUUCU